rnacentral:ncRNA from 1 species
GCUCGUGCCGUGAGGUGUUCCCUUAAGUGGGGAAACGAGCGCAACCCCCGCCCAAUGUUAAAUAUUCAUUGGGGACGGUCCCGCCUUUUGCGGGAAGGAAGGAGGGGAAGACGUCAAGUCAGCACGGCCCUUAUGCCCUGGGCUACACACACACUACAAUGGCGAAAAACAAUGGGUUGCAAGCCGGUAACGGCAAGCUAAUCCCUUAAAUUUCGUCUCAGUUCAGAUUGGGGGCUGAAACCCGCCCUCAUGAAGUCGGAAUUGGUAGUAAUCGCGGAUCAGCAAGCCGCGGUGAAUACGUUCUCGGGUCUUGUACACACAAUAAAUGCGCGCUAAGCAGCUUACUAGGCAAAGUGGUUUAAAUCCACUUUCAUAGCUAAAAAA